rnacentral:rRNA from 1 species
UACGAAGGGGGCUAGCGUUGCUCGGAAUCACUGGGCGUAAAGCGCACGUAGGCGGAUUGCUAAGUCAGGGGUGAAAUCCUGGAGCUCAACUCCAGAACUGCCUUUGAUACUGGCGAUCUUGAGGCCGGGAGAGGUGAGUGGAACUGCGAGUGUAGAGGUGAAAUUCGUAGAUAUUCGCAAGAACACCAGUGGCGAAGGCGGCUCACUGGCCCGGUACUGACGCUGAGGUGCGAAAGCGUGGGGAGCAAACAGG